CUUCCUCGCCGCUUCUCUUUUCUGAUGGCACUUUUUUUUUAAUCCCGAUUCGUCAUAUUGUUGUAUAAUUAACAAACUAUUGUGGUUUUGCAGGUAUUCUCGAAAUCGUUAGCGCUGCAAAUGCUAUGUGAAUGGGAUGGCCAAUAGAUAUUCACAUGAAAAGUUAUUUUAAUAGGAUUUCUAAUAGAUUUUCGCAUGGAAGAAAUUGGUUUGGUAAUCUCCUUCUCUUCAAAAUCUUGGCAUAUGUACCGGAACCCAAUUUUCUCUCUAAAUAAACGACUCACGGAAUCGCAUAGUUGAGGGAAAGAGAGAAACCGACAUGGAAAGGUUUUCUAUAUAAUAUGAAUGGCGAUAAAGCAAGUUGAAUGUCCACCAAAGGAGGCAAGGCAUUUAAAAGGUUUUGUGUUCUAAUACGUAGAGUCUGUUGCAAUGCGCUAUUUCCUAUUCCCUCUUAAUGAUUGUCGUGGCGUGGAGAAAUUGCGUAGGGAUGGUGAAAUCAGAUUAUACAAGACUCCGUACAUGGAUGAGGUCCUGUGGGAUAUGGCGUGUGGAUUGUGGCUUCGCGUGGUACAUGGACAGUCCUUUAGUUACUGACUCUCAUGAGCAAUAUGCGACCCAGAAACGUGAAAUAUUGUACUGUUUUCACAUUCCUUUAGUUACAGAUCUCAUGCAUAUAAGCAGAUGUUGGAGUUUAGAAAAUCUUUUCUGGUGCAUAUAAGGAGAGAACAUACUGCUCAAUGCAGUUGCUCGGAAUCAUGUUUUACUUUGUAGCUGAUGUAUAAUGCAUGUAUAUUAGCAAUUUUUUUAGAGAAGAAACUUCUCGAUUUUUUUUCUUUUUUGAAGCAUAUUUCUUUUUGUUGUGCA